AAGGAUCAUUAAAGAAAUUUAAUAAUCUGGGAGACAAGUUCUGUUUUAAGAGGGAGCUUAGUGAAUGUAGAUGCAUUGAGACCAGCGCUUAAUUGCGCGGUCUGUUUGCGGUGCUACAGGAUCUGUGCUUAUUCCAAACCUUUUUUUACAAGAGUGUCUUUCUAAAUUUACACACUGUGGAGUAUUUUCUACUUUUACAUUUUUAUUUUGGGACUGCUUUCGAGUGUCCCAAAAGACAAACACAAACAAUUUUGUAAUAUUAUUACUUAGUCAUGCAACUGUUUUAUUACAGAAACCAAAAUAUUCAAAACUUUCAACAACGGAUCUCUUGGUUCUCGCAUCGAUGAAGAACGCAGCGAAAUGCGAUACGUAAUGUGAAUUGCAGAAUUCCGUGAAUCAUCGAAUCUUUGAACGCACAUUGCGCCCCUUGGUAUUCCAGGGGGCAUGCCUGUUUGAGCGUCAUUUCCUUCUCAAAUAGAAAUAUUUGGUUGUGAGUGACACUCUCUCGAGUUAGCUUGAAAUUGUUGGCCGUUUAGUGUCAUGAUUGCAGUUAAUUUUGUUCUAUGGAAAUAGGAUUUUGUUAAUUUGUCGUAUUAGGUUUUACCAACUCGAUGAAGAAAUCUUAUUAACGCAGGAUAGAUUAGUUGUGAGGGCACGGCAAACAGUACUCUUUAAGUUUGACCUCAAA
rnacentral:rRNA from 1 species